rnacentral:lncRNA from 1 species
GAAUAAAGACUCCUUAAAUCUCUAAGGGCUGAAGAGGCUGCAAGACUAAACACAACAUUAAGUAGCAACAAAAUACAUCACAUUUACUAAAAACAAAAAAAACAUAACUCGAAAAAAGUAUUCAAAUUCUCAAAACAGUGGUUGCAAACCCUAAACCCAAAUCCAAAUAGUUAUUUUGCUCUUCUAGCUAGCUUCUUUUCUAAAGCCUUCUCCUAUUAAUAGUCUAUUUGCAUCAUUUCUGAGUCAAAACAGU